UACGGAGGGUGCAAGCGUUGUCCGGAUUUAUUGGGUUUAAAGGGUGCGUAGGCGGCCCUGUAAGUCAAUGCUGAAAGCCUGCCGCUUAACGGCAGGAUUGGUGAUGAUACUGCAGGGCUUGAGUACAGACGAGGUAGGCGGAAUUGAUAAUGUAGCGGUGAAAUGCAUAGAUAUUAUCAGGAACUCCGAUUGCGAAGGCAGCUUACUAGGCUGUAACUGACGCUGAGGCACGAAAGUGUGGGGAGCAAACAGG
rnacentral:misc_RNA from 1 species